rnacentral:rRNA from 1 species
GAGUUUGAUUAUGGCUCAGGAUGAACGCUAGCGAUAGGCUUAACACAUGCAAGUCGAGGGGCAGCAUGAACUUAGCUUGCUAAGUUUGAUGGCGACCGGCGCACGGGUGCGUAACGCGUAUGCAACUUGCCUUACAGAGGGGGAUAACCCGUUGAAAGACGGACUAAUACCGCAUAUACUUAUUCGGUUGCAUGACCGGGCAAGGAAAUAUUUAUAGCUGUAAGAUAGGCAUGCGUCCCAUUAGCUGGUUGGUGAGGUAACGGCUCACCAAGGCAACGAUGGGUAGGGGAACUGAGAGGUUUAUCCCCCACACUGGUACUGAGACACGGACCAGACUCCUACGGGAGGCAGCAGUGAGGAAUAUUGGUCAAUGGGCGAGAGCCUGAACCAGCCAAGUCGCGUGAAGGAAGACUGUCCUAAGGAUUGUAAACUUCUUUUAUACGGGAAUAACGGGCGAUACGCGUAUUGCUAUGAA